rnacentral:rRNA from 1 species
GCACAGUUUAUACCGUAGCUUGCUACACCAUAGACUGUGAGUUGCGAACGGGUGAGUAACGCGUAGGUAACCUGCCUAUUAGAGGGGGAUAACUAUUGGAAACGAUAGCUAAUACCGCAUAACAGUAUGUAACACAUGUUAGAUGCUUGAAAGAUGCAAUUGCAUCGCUAGUAGAUGGACCUGCGUUGUAUUAGCUAGUAGGUAGGGUAAAGGCCUACCUAGGCAACGAUACAUAGCCGACCUGAGAGGGUGAUCGGCCACACUGGGACUGAGACACGGCCCAGACUCCUACGGGAGGCAGCAGUAGGGAAUCUUCGGCAAUGGGGGGAACCCUGACCGAGCAACGCCGCGUGAGUGAAGAAGGUUUUCGGAUCGUAAAGCUCUGUUGUUAAGGAAGAACGAGUGUGAGAAUGGAAAGUUCAUACUGUGACGGUACUUAACCAGAAAGGGACGGCUAACUACGUGCCAGCAGCCGCGGUAAUACGUAGGUCCCGAGCGUUGUCCGGAUUUAUUGGGCGUAAAGCGAGCGCAGGCGGUUAGAAAAGUCUGAAGUGAAAGGCAGUGGCUCAACCAUUGUAGGCUUUGGAAACUGUUUAACUUGAGUGCAGAAGGGGAGAGUGGAAUUCCAUGUGUAGCGGUGAAAUGCGUAGAUAUAUGGAGGAACACCGGUGGCGAAAGCGGCUCUCUGGUCUGUAACUGACGCUGAGGCUCGAAAGCGUGGGGAGCGAACAGGAUUAGAUACCCUGGUAGUCCACGCCGUAAACGAUGAGUGCUAGGUGUUAGGUCC